UGUUGUUAAGUGUUUGUGAUAGAUUAAUUUUAAGGUAGUGUUCAAUAUGCAUUAUGUUCAAAUAAUAUUUUCCUGCAUAAUUGCUUUUACAUGUAGUAUUUUUAUAUUGUUUUUAUAUUGUGUUUACCUAUGUAUUACUAUUAUAUUGAAUCUGAAGAUACAGACUUUGUUCAUUUGCUAAUAUUUUAGUUGGAAAAUAUGCUUAAUUUCAAACAUGUUUUUGUUUAAAUUUGAUAGGGAAAAAAAUCAUUGUAUAAAAAUGUCAAAUACAUUGGAGAUGUUUGUAGCAUUCAACAUACAUAUUUGAUAGAAAAUAGUUUAAUGUGUAUGAUGUUAUUUCCAGUGACUAUUGCUCAAAUCAUACACAUGCAGGGCAUUAAAGUUUGUGUAAUAAUGGUAUAUUUACUGCCAAGUAAGGAAAUAAUUGUCCAGGAUGUUUCCUGAAACAAAAUUAUGAUGUCAGUCUGUUUAUAUGCACAUGUAAAUAUGUUUCAUGAUCGAUACAUGUUCAAUAAAUAUUUAAUAUAUAC
rnacentral:sRNA from 1 species